GCGGGCGUGCCUAAUACAUGCAAGUAGAAACGGACUGAAGGAAGGAAGGCUUGCUCUUUUCCCGGUAUGAGGUUGGCGAACGGGGUAGGAGUAAACGACGUAGGUAACCCGUAGCCCUGGUUAGCCGGGGGAGUAACUAAUUGGAAACGAGUAAGCUAAUACCGCAUAACAGUAGAUAUCGCAUGAUAGCUGCUUGAAAGGUGCAAAUGCACCACUACCAGAUGGACCUGCGUUGUAUUAGCUAGUUGGUGAGGUAACGGCUCACCAAGGCAACGAUACAUAGCCGACCUGAGAGGGUGAUCGGCCACACUGGGACUGAGACACGGCCUAGACUCCUACGGGAGGCAGCAGUAGGGAAUCUUCGGCAAUGGACGGAAGUCUGACCGAGCAACGCCGCGUGAGUGAAGAAGGUUUUCGGAUCGUAAAGCUCUGUUGUAAGAGAAGAACGAGUGUGAGAGUGGAGAGUUCACACUGUGACGGUAUCUUACCAGAAAGGGACGGCUAACUACGUG
rnacentral:rRNA from 1 species